AUUGAACGCUGGCGGCAUGCCUUACACAUGCAAGUCGAACGGCAGCACGGGAGCAAUCCUGGUGGCGAGUGGCGAACGGGUGAGUAAUAUAUCGGAACGUGCCCAGUAGUGGGGGAUAACUGCUCGAAAGAGCAGCUAAUACCGCAUACGACCUGAGGGUGAAAGGGGGGGAUCGCAAGACCUCUCGCUAUUGGAGCGGCCGAGAUCAGAUUAGCUAGUUGGUGGGGUGAAGGCCUACCAAGGCAACGAUCUGUAGUUGGUCUGAGAGGACGACCAGCCAAACUGGGACUGAGACACGGCCCAGACUCCUACGGGAGGCAGCAGUGGGGAAUUUUGGACAAUGGGCGCAAGCCUGAUCCAGCAAUGCCGCGUGCAGGAAGAAGGCCUUCGGGUUGUAAACUGCUUUUGUCAGGGAAGAAAUCCUCUAGGUUAAUACCCUUGGGGGGAUGACGGUACCUGAAGAAUAAGCACCGGCUAACUACGUGCCAGCCGCCGCGGUAACAC
rnacentral:rRNA from 1 species